AAACUUUAAAUAAUAUACUUUUAAAGUUUUUUUAGAUUAUCAAUUUAAAACUGUUUACUUUAAAAUGGAAAUAACAAAGUUGUUCAAGGCUUGUGUCAAAGCUGCUAAAUUAAAAAAUAAAGAAGCUAGUAAUAUUCUUCCAAAGUCCAGAAAGAACCAAAAUGGAGAGAAAUCGUUUCAUUGUAAAGCAACAGAUUUGGUCAGGAAUAUCACCAAGCUUCGUGAAUUUCUUUUGAGUCAUCAGCUUGAAUAUAUUGGAGAAUUUAGUCAUCUUAUAUCAAUAUCAUCAAAACUUAGCAGUGAAGAACGAGACCAGAUUGAUGCUGAUGCACAAACUUACAUAAAAUCAUGCUCAAAUUCAAUUUUUGCGUUAAAAAAUGAAGUAAAUCAAAUUUCAUCAGAAUCACAAUUGAAGAGUCACUGUGUGGCAGUAAUUGAAUUGUUAGAGUUGUAUUUAAAAGAUGUAUGUAAACUGUACAGCCAGCAGAGAGCAUAUCGCGUAAAGCAGACGUUGGACCGAAAGAGAAUGUCUCGGUUAAAACCAGUAAGGAGGAAGAUAGAAAAGAAAGAUUCUGCUGUAGAAACAAAACGAACAGAAACAAUUAAAAAAGUUGAUCACAAAAAUAAAAAGAAAAGCAAUCCAGUGAACUCUGCAUCAAAAAGAGAAACCUCUACACAGCAGGCAUUGUUGUUAAAUGAAGAAAAGAAGAAAGAAGAAUUCAACUUUACACCUGAAGAAACUCAAAUGUUUGAAGAAGAGAACGAACAGCUGUACGAAGAAAUGAAUCAUGUUGAUAAAGAAAUUAAAAAUAUAGAAGGAAAAGUUAUCGAAAUUGGUCAACUUCAAGAAAUAUUUCAAGAGAAAGUUUUAGCACAGUCAACUCAGAUUGAAAAUCUUCACGAAACAGCUGUAUCAACGACUGAAAACGUAAAAGAAGGAAACGAACAAAUACGAGAGGCCAUCAAAAACAGCGCCACAUUUCGUGUCUGGAUUCUGUUCUUUUUGGUUAUGUGCACGUUUUCUCUUCUGUUUCUUGAUUGGUACAAUGUCUGACGAAUCGAACGAUUGUAUCAUUUUGAUUGGUCUGCUUUUGGAUAUUUUAUCAAGAUAACUAUAUGCAAUAUGUAAAUAAAGAAUGGAUUAUCUUACCAUCAAAUUUGAUUCCAAAUAUAAACAAUUUUGGAAUUGAGGAUUGUGUUUUCGGGAGAAUCAAACCUGAUAGAAUCCAAUUCAACUUUUUAUUAUGACGAAAAUCGCGACCAAUCGAGUUCGAGUAUUGAUGACGAUCGUCGUAAAAAUCGUCCCGUGGAGAUUCGCCUUUAUGAAAUAAAUUCCUGCGAAAUUUUAAAAUGUGCUCUAUUUUUAAAAUACACGGGUCCCGCAAACAUAAAGUUACUGUAAUCGUAUCAUAUAAAUUUGAUAGGAAACUUUUUCAAGAGGGCGCUUAAAAUUAUCCGGUUGACAGGUAAUUUUUGCACUCGCGACAAGAGUUGAAUGAAUCUGAAAACACUUUUGACACGAUCAAAUUCGCGACCAUCGUCACAUAAUAUACAUAAUCUAGACAUAAAUAUAUUCAACAAUUUAGUAAAUUUAACAUAUAUACAUAAAAAAAUAAGAAGCUAUUUAUUACGCUAACCUUGAAAGCAUACUAAUACCACGACAUAAUGUCAUGAUGUAUAAUAUGUUGUAGUAUAGCUCAUAUUUUAAAUAUUUUUAAAAAAGAAUUUGAAUGUAUUAUUUCGA